AGGUUUGUUUUGGAUGACUUGGAUUUUAUGAAAUAAAAUAGGAUUUACAUUUUGGAUGAUUUCAAGAGUUUUGUAAUAGAUCUAUGGAUGAAAUUUUGUAGGUUCAUGGUUGUAGUUGUGUUUAAUAUGUGUUGUGAAUUUGAACUCGAUCUAAUGGUUGAAUUGAAGAAUAUUGAGGUUUAAAAGGAUCAAGGUCUCAGAAAGUAGAACUUUAGGUCUAGUGAGGAUUUUUAAGAUUUCUUGCAAUCUACUAGUUGAAUUGGAGUGAAACUUAUAUGAGAGAAUAUUAGACUUGUUUUCCUAUGUAUAUGAGAAUUUUGAGAUCAAUCAAAUAAUGAAAAGUAGAGAUAUUGGCUUUGAAAGAUAAGCA
rnacentral:lncRNA from 1 species